CGCUGUGCGUACACACGAAAAUUAAAAAAAAAGCGGACGAAAAUUUGGCGCGUUCGAAUUUAAAAAAAAGGCGCGAGUGUUGUGCUGUGAUUUUUGUUUUUGGAAGUUUAAUUUUUUUUUGGAAGUGUUGUUAUGUUUUUUUUUUGUGAAUGAGAUGUGUCAAUGGUGCGAUGCGCGUGCGCGCAUAUUCAUUCAUAAAAUCUUGCUAGGUACAAAAUAAAUCCAAAUGCGGUUACAGAGAACAGAACAAUUUAUUGUUAGUAUGAUCGCACGCACCAUUGACACAGUGAGGGACUAGUGAGGAGUGUGGACGAGCAGGAUAAGUGAUCUCCAAAUGGCGCUGGAGGCCGGAGACAGCUGAUAGGAGCAUCCAGGCGUGGAACACGAGAAGGGCUUCCAUAGGGCCCA